rnacentral:rRNA from 1 species
GAUGAACGCUGGCGGCGUGCCUAAUACAUGCAAGUCGAGCGAACGGACGAGAAGCUUGCUUCUCUGAUGUUAGCGGCGGACGGGUGAGUAACACGUGGAUAACCUACCUAUAAGACUGGGAUAACUUCGGGAAACCGGAGCUAAUACCGGAUAAUAUUUUGAACCGCAUUGUUCAAAAGUGAAAGACGGUCUUGCUGUCACUUAUAGAUGGAUCCGCGCUGCAUUAGCUAGUUGGUAAGGUAACGGCUUACCAAGGCAACGAUGCAUAGCCGACCUGAGAGGGUGAUCGGCCACCCUGGAACUGAGACACGGUACAGACUCCUACGGGAGGCAGCAGUAGGGAAUCUUACGCAAUGGGCGAAAGCCUGACGGAGCAACGCCGCGUGAGUGAUGAAGGUCUUAGGAUCGUAAAACUCUGUUAUUAGGGAAGAACAUAUGUGUAAGUACCUGUGCACAUCUUGACGGUACCUAAUCAGAAAGCCACGGCUAACUACGUG